AUUGAACGCUGGCGGCAGGCCGAACACAUGCAAGUCGAGCGGAGCGGCGGACGGGUGAGUACUGCCUAGGACUCUGCCGGGUAGUGGGGGAUAACGUCCGGAAACGGGCGCUAAUACCGCAUACUAUCAGAUGAGCCUAGGCCGGAUUAGGUAGUGGGUGGGGUACAGGCCUACAAAGGCGACGAUCCGUAACUGGUCGGAGAGUAGGAUAAGUCACACGAUAACUGAGACACGGUCCAGACGCCUACGUGAGGCAUGAGUGGGGAAUAUUGGACAAUGGGCGAAAGCCUGAUCCAGCCGUGCCGCGUGGGUGAAGAAGGUCUUCGGAUGGUAAAGCUCUUUAAGUUGGGAGGCGUUACCAACAGAAGAAGCACCGGCAAACUUCGUGCCAGCAGCCGCGGUAAUAC
rnacentral:rRNA from 1 species